rfam:Otolemur garnettii contig012777, whole genome shotgun sequence.
GCCAGGCGUUGUGGUGGGCGCCUGUGGUCCCAGCUACUUGGGAGGCAGAGGCAGGAGACUCGCUUGAGCCCAGGAGUUGGAGGUUGCUGUGAGCUGUAAUGCCACGGCACUGUACCCAGGGGGAAAGCUUGAGGCUCUGUCUCAAAAAAAAAAAAAAAAACCAACAUUUUACUGGCUUAUGAAAGUUUAGUAAAUUAAAAAGAGAACAAGAAAUGUUUAGAAUAGGGUAAAAACUUUUCGAGGACAAAUCAGUAUUUUUUUUUUUUUUUGAGACAGAGCCUCAAGCUGUCCCCCUGGGCAGAGUGCCGUGGCAUUACAGCUCACAGCAACCUCCAACUCCUGGGCUCAAGCGAGUCUCCUGCCUCCG